rnacentral:rRNA from 1 species
CCUACGGGGGGCAGCAGUGAGGAAUAUUGGUCAAUGGUCGGGAGACUGAACCAGCCAAGCCGCGUGAGGGAGGAAGGUACAGAGUAUCGUAAACCUCUUUUGUCAGGGAACAAAGGCGGGGACGUGUCCCCGGAUGAGUGUACCUGAAGAAAAAGCAUCGGCUAACUCCGUGCCAGCAGCCGCGGUAAUACGGAGGAUGCGAGCGUUAUCCGGAUUUAUUGGGUUUAAAGGGUGCGCAGGCGGUCUGUUAAGUCAGCGGGCAAAGCCCGGGGCUCAACCCCGGCCCGCCGUUGAGACUGGCAGUCUCGAGUUGGAGAGAAGUAUGCGGAAUGCGCGGUGUAGCGGUGAAAUGCAUAGAUAUCGCGCAGAACUCCGAUUGCGAAGGCAGCAUGCCGGCUCCACACUGACGCUGAGGCACGAAAGCGUGGGUAUCGAACAGGAUUAGAUACCCUUGUAGUC